AUUGAACGCUGGCGGCAGGCCUAACACAUGCAAGUCGAGCGGAUGAAGAGAGCUUGCUCUCUGAUUUAGCGGCGGACGGGUGAGUAAUGCCUAGGAAUCUGCCUGGUCGUGGGGGAUAACGUUCCGAAAGGAACGCUAAUACCGCAUACGUCCUACGGGAGAAAGCAGGGGACCUUCGGGCCUUGCGCUAUCAGAUGAGCCUAGGUCGGAUUAGCUAGUUGGUGAGGUAAUGGCUCACCAAGGCGACGAUCCGUAACUUGUCUGAGAGGAUGAUCAGUCACACUGGAACUGAGACACGGUCCAGACUCCUACGGGGGGCAGCAGUGGGGAAUAUUGGACAAUGGGCGAAAGCCUGAUCCAGCCAUGCCGCGUGUGCGAAGAAGGUCUUCGGAUUGUAAAGCACUUUAAGUUGGGAGGAAGGGCAGUAAGCUAAUACCUUGCUGUUUUGACGUUACCGACAGAAUAAGCACCGGCUAACCUCGUGCCAGCAGCCGCAGUAAGAC
rnacentral:rRNA from 1 species